AUCGCUUCUCGGCCUUUUGGCUAAGAUCAAGUGUAGAAGAUGGUGAGAUACUUGAUAAAAAUGAAGACCUUUUAUGACUUCUCAAAUAAUAUUCCUAGAAAUGUAUAGAUAUUCUUUAAAAUAGUGUGUGUGUCUGUUCUAAGGCAUUGAGUGGGUAUACCCAUGCUAAGAAAUGGAGUUUGUACAUCCAUAUGAA